AGAGUUUGAUCAUGGCUCAGAACGAACGCUGGCGGCAGGUUUAACACAUGCAAGUCGAACGCGUGUAGCAAUACACGAGUGGCGCACGGGUGAGUAACGCGUGGAUAUCUGCCUUUUGGUUCGGAAUAACCCCGGGAAACUGGGGCUAAUACCGGAUGGUUCCUACGGGAUAAAGAUUUAUCGCCAAAAGAUGAGUCCGCGUACGAUUAGCUAGUUGGUGAGGUAAUGGCUCACCAAGGCGACGAUCGUUAGCUGGUCUGAGAGGACGAUCAGCCACACUGGGACUGAGACACGGCCCAGACUCCUACGGGAGGCAGCAGUGGGGAAUAUUGGACAAUGGGGGCAACCCUGAUCCAGCCAUGCCGCGUGAGUGAUGAAGGCCUUCGGGUUGUAAAGCUCUUUUGGCGGGGACGAUGAUGACGGUACCCGCAGAAUAAGCCCCGGCUAACUUCGUGCCAGCAGCCGCGGUAAGACGAAGGGGGCUAGCGUUGUUCGGAAUUACUGGGCGUAAAGCGAGUGUAGGUGGUUGUCCAAGUUGGAUGUGAAAGCCUUGAGCUCAACUCAAGAAAUGCAUUCAGGACUGGGCGGCUAGAGGACCGGAGAGGAUAGUGGAAUUCCCAGUGUAGUGGUGAAAUACGUAGAGAUUGGGAAGAACACCAGUGGCGAAGGCGGCUAUCUGGACGGUUUCUGACACUAAGACUCGAAAGCGUGGGGAGCAAACAGGAUUAGAUACCCUAGUAGUCC
rnacentral:rRNA from 1 species